CCUACGGCGAGCAGCAGUGGGGAAUAUUGGGCAAUGGAGGCAACUCUUACCCAGCAAUGCCGCGUGAAUGAAGAAGGUCUUCGGAUUGUAAAGUUCUUUAAUUGUGGACGACAAACAUGACGGUACCCACGGAAUAAGCCCCGGCUAACUACGUACCAGCAGCCCCGGUAAUACGUAGGGGGCAAGCGUUGUUCGGAAUGCCUGGGCGUAAAGGGUGUGUAGGCGGUGUAGCAAGUUAGAAGUGAAAUACCUAGAGCUUAACUCAGGUUCUGCUUCUAAAAAUGCUAUACUUGAGGGCAGUAGAGGAAAGUGGAAUUCCUAGUGUAGCGGUGGAAUGCGUAGAGAUUAGGAGGAACAGCAGUGGCGAAGGCGUCUUUCUGGACUGUAACUGACGCUGAGGCACGAAAGUGUGGGGAGCAAACAGGAUUAGAUACCCUGGUAGUC
rnacentral:rRNA from 1 species